rnacentral:tRNA from 1 species
GGGGUCAUAGUUAAUAAUAACAUUUGAAUUGCAUCCAAAAAGUACUUACCAAAAGUUGAUCUCG